rnacentral:tRNA from 1 species
GUUGGGAUAGCUCAGUCGGUAGAGCUUGAGACUCUUAAUCUUAGGGUGAUGGGUUCAAGGCCCACAUUGGGCA